rnacentral:tRNA from 1 species
GCCCGCCUAGCUCAAUCGGAUAGAGCGUCAGACUCUUACGUCUAUGGCAACGGGCAUCUGAAGGCUGCGAGUUCGACCCUCGCGGUGGGCU